GUGAUCCUUUCAGCAGCACAUAUACUAAAUUGGAACAAUACAGAGAGGAUUAGCAUGAGCCUGUGCAGGCAUGACACGAAUUUGUGGAGCACUCCAUAUUUUA